rnacentral:misc_RNA from 1 species
UCCGGUUUGUCACCGGCAGUCCCAUUAGAGUGCUCAACUGAAUGUAGCAACUAAUGGCAAGGGUUGCGCUCGUUGCGGGACUUAACCCAACAUCUCACGGCACGAGCUGACGACAGCCAUGCAGCACCUAGUUUCGUGUCCUUGCGGACGCACCCAUCUCUGGAUGCUUCACUAACUUUCAAGCCCGGGUAAGGUUCCUCGCGUAUCAUCGAAUUAAACCACGUGCUCCUCCGCUUGUGCGGGCCCCCGUCAAUUCCUUUGAGUUUUAGCCUUGCGGCCGUACUCCCCAGGCGGGGAACUUAAUGCGUUAGCUGCGGCACCGACGACGUGGAAUGUCGCCAACACCUAGUUCCCAACGUUUACGGCGUGGACUAC